AUUCCUACGGGAGGCAGCAGUGGGGAAUUUUCCGCAAUGGGCGAAAGCCUGACGGAGCAACGCCGCGUGAGGGAUGAAGGCCUCUGGGCUGUAAACCUCUUUUAUCAAGGAAGAAGAUCUGACGGUACUUGAUGAAUAAGCCACGGCUAAUUCCGUGCCAGCAGCCGCGGUAAUACGGGAGUGGCAAGCGUUAUCCGGAAUUAUUGGGCGUAAAGCGUCCGCAGGCGGCCCUUCAAGUCUGCUGUUAAAAAGUGGAGCUUAACUCCAUCAUGGCAGUGGAAACUGUUGGGCUUGAGUGUGGUAGGGGCAGAGGGAAUUCCCGGUGUAGCGGUGAAAUGCGUAGAUAUCGGGAAGAACACCAGUGGCGAAGGCGCUCUGCUGGGCCAUCACUGACGCUCAUGGACGAAAGCCAGGGGAGCGAAAGGGAUUAGAUACCCCUGUAGUCCUGGCCGUAAACGAUGAACACUAGGUGUCGGGGGAAUCGACCCCCUCGGUGUCGUAGCCAACGCGUUAAGUGUUCCGCCUGGGGAGUACGCACGCAAGUG
rnacentral:rRNA from 1 species